UGGGGAAUAUUGGACAAUGGGCGAAAGCCUGAUCCAGCCAUGCCGCAUGAGUGAAGAAGGCCUUUGGGUUGUAAAGCUCUUUUAGUGAGGAAGAUAAUGACGGUACUCACAGAAGAAGUCCUGGCUAACUCCGUGCCAGCAGCCGCGGUAAUACGGAGAGGGCUAGCGUUAUUCGGAAUUAUUGGGCGUAAAGGGCGCGUAGGCGGAUUAGUAAGUUAAAAGUGAAAUCCCAAGGCUCAACCUUGGAAUUGCUUUUAAAACUGCUAAUCUAGAGAUUGAAAGAGGAUAGAGGAAUUCCUAGUGUAGAGGUGAAAUUCGUAAAUGUUAGGAGGAACACCAGUGGCGAAGGCGUCUAUCUGGUUCAAAUCUGACGCUGAGGCGCGAAGGCGUGGGGAGCAAACA
rnacentral:rRNA from 1 species